GUAGGCUCUAUCUAUGGGAAUGUUUAGAGAACAGAACUUGGAGGAUUCUAGGUUCCAAUAGACAGAAUUUUAAGGUACACUUCGGGAUAGACUUGUUGCUAAAUGUGUAUUGACAUUACAUAGAGAAUAUUAGGCGCUUAUAAUAGACAGUGCAUGGACAUGUCUGCCAUGAGCCCUUCACACUACUGGACUCAGUGCUGGAAGGAGUAACUGAAUGGGUUAUAUUGCUAUAUAGUAUAUCUCCUGUGUCAGGGUGAAAUACAGCAUUUGUGAUUUACUCCAAUCUAGAGGGGAUAGGAGAUCCUGGGGGCUUGUACUGUUUGGAGGUGAAUCUUUAGGGUUUAUUUACUAAACACUUGUAGUGAAUUAAAAGUGUAUUGCAAUUUCAAGAAAAAUGUGGUGAUAUUCAGGAAUUCUUCAACUUGACUGAAGGUACAGUUUGUAACUAAUGAAAUUUUGCAGCAUGGUUUUCUGUUAACUUCAAUUUGCUAUUUACCAAAUAAACCUUCCAGAUAUUCUGUUUUGCUGACACUGGAGUUCUGCAAUGUGAUGUUUUCUUGUUAGGGGUGAUGUGGAGAUAUUUUAAUGUGCGAUUGUAUUAAAAGCUUAAAUACGUAAUUGAAAUAUGAAUGGUUUCAUUAGUUUACAAAUGUUAAAGGACCACUAUAGUGCCAGGAAAACAUACUCGUUUUCCUGGCACUACAGUGCCCUGAGGGUGCCCACACCCUCAGGGUCCCCCUCCCGCCAGGCUCUGGGGAGAGGAAGAGGUUAAAAUCUUACCUUUCUCCAGCGCCGGGCGGGGAGCUCUCCUCCUCCUCUUCUCCUUCAUAGAGACGUCAUCGGCUGAAUGUGCAUUUACAAUGCUUUCCUAUGGACGCUGGCGUCUUCUCACUGUGAUUUUCACAGUGAGAAGCACCCAAGCGCCUCUAGCGGCUGUCAAUGUGACAGCCACUAGAGGCUCUAGAGGCUGGAUUAACCCUAUUAUAAACAUAGCAUUUUCUCUGAAACUGCUAUGUUUAUAUAAAAAAAAAAGGGGUUAACCGUAGCUGGACCUGGCACCCAGACCACUUCAUUAACCCCUUAAGGACACAACUUCUGAAAUAAAAAGGAAUCACGACGGAAUAUUUCGGUUAUGUGUCCUUAAGGGGUUAAGCUGAAGUGGUCUGGGUGCCUAUAGUGGUACUUUAAGCCCUUAAGGACCAAACUUCUGGAAUAAAAGGGAAUCAUGACAUGUCACACAUGUCAUGUGUCCUUAAGGGGUUAAAGUAUAUGUGUCACCAUACACAUAGAGUACGUUCUGCUUCAAUAGAGGUGAUUAUGCUAAAUAUCUUAUAGGUUUGAAAUGCCUUAAAGAAGCGCUUUCCCGUCCCAGGAGUCUUAAAGAAAAAAUAUUUAUUUCUCAAUGGACACAAUAGAAUUAAGAAUAUAAACAUGUAUUCCUAUUGCUAUAGUGCGCUAUGUAGAUCAGAGCCCCCCUAAAUUGCAAUAAAAAAAGUUUUUUCCAGCGCUGAGACUCCCUUGGUGCUUAAGGCAUCACUCGCUUGGCAAUGGUCCAAUGCUCAUUGUAGAGGAAUAUUUUGGGACUUGAUGCUCUUUCACAGCCAUAUAAUUCAUUGUCUUCCUGCAUUUGAUGGCUUUCGAUGUCCUCAUGGAUGUUGAAUGUCACAUGAACAAAUUUUAUUCUGUUGUUUUCUACAAAACCUCAAUGUUUUACAUUGUUUCUUGUGUUUAGAUUAACGGGCCCUCUUUGUUUUACAUAAAUAAAAGUAAAAUAAAUGCCAUAGAAUUUACCUCUAAUCCAACGCUGGGACAUCUCCUCUGCCACCGAUGAAGUAAUCUGUUCUGAUAAAAAAAAUUUAAUCUGGUGCUCCUAAUAGAGAAACAUUGAGGACAUAUGUCGCAAUAUAUGGCAAUUCUGUAUGAGAAGCAUCGGACAUCAUCGUCAUGUUAACUUAAAGACCUUUAAAAAUCAAAGUUUUUCAAUGAGAAGGUUCUUUUAGUGGUUUAGGCAAAAUGUAAACAUGCAAUUUCUGACACAAAAGGCAGCAUUCAUUUACCAAACCUACUACAUUAAGAUGUUCUGAGAGUGUCAUUUUCAUAUGUUUAUAUAUCUGCUAUAUUUAAAGGGACACUUUAGGCACCCAGACUACUUCAGCUCAUUGAAGAGGUCUGGGUGCAUAGUCCCAGGUCCCUUAACCCUACAGUGGAAAUUAUUGCAGUUUCUGAGAAACAGUGGAACCUCAACCAGCGCCAAGGGACCUUAGUGCUACAAUCAGGUAAGUCACAGAAGUUUUUUUUUUUAACCUUUUCUGCACCACGAGAGGCGUGCACUAUAGGGAACUCAGUUUUCCUGGCACUAAAGUUUCCCUUUAAAGGAACACACCAAGCACCAUGACCACUACAGCUCGCUGUACCUAUUAUAUUUAACGGAGCACUCAAAGCAACAUAAACAUUGUUACUUGCCUGUAGUACCCCAAGCGCUGCUCUCUGCCUCCACCACCAAUGACAGAGAGCCAGAAUCUCCUAAGCAGUGGCUUCCAUUAGCUCUUCCAUUAGCUCAAAGAGAUAAUGCCAGUGCUUAGCUAAUUGGCUGAUAGAGAAAAUAACUGAAGCUAUAGAAGGCAUUCUGGUGACAUGCAGCUACAGGUAAACCAUAACAGGGAUGUGUCAGCAGAGGACAUAGACCCAGAGCUUACCUGGGUUCUACCAGGGCUCCUGCUCUACAUCUGGUCUUUUCGUGUGGCUGAGUGUGUCAGCUGAACUCUUACCUAAUAAAUGAGUAGCUGCAUUGAACAAGCUUACAUCCUGUUUCACUAGUUUUAAGAAGAUCCAGAUGCCAGGAUCUAAGCAAGUGCUAUAUCUUCCUAAAACAGUUUGACAGAUUAGGCUGGGAUAGUUCCAGGACACUCUGCACCCUAACCACAACAUCAUGCUAUAGUAGUUAUGGUGCUUGAAGUGUUCCUUUAAUUAUAUGCUUUCCAAUAUCAUAGGAUUAUUAUUUGCAAUAAGAAGGUAGUGCUGCUAUGUAAAACAUGCUAUUGUGAGCAGAACCUGAUGAAUAUUUGUGCCAGUUCCUACCAGCUUUUGGAUCCUUGCCCCAGGAUUUUUUUAAAGGAACACUGUAGGCAGCCAGACCACUUCAGGCAAUUGAAGUGGUCAGCGUGCAGUGUCCCAUUUACAUUUAGUGCUGUAAUGUUAAACAUUGCAGUUCCAGAGAAACUGCAAUGUUUGCAUUGCAGCUUUAAGUCUGCCCACAGUGGCUGCCUACCAGACACUAGAGGGCUUCCUGAAUUGAAACUGACCAUUGGUCAGGUAUCUGAUGCUGGAUGCCCUCACGCUGUGCAUGAGGACAUCCAGUGUCAGAUUUUUUGAUUGAUUCAAUGGUUUCCUAUGAGGAGGCCUAAUGCGCGUGCGGCAUUUGCAACGCAUGCGGAUUAGCACCCGCUCGUCGCAGUAAAAAGAUAUGUGAGUAAAGGGUUUUUAACCCUUUAUUUACCCGGGCGGAGGCAGAGGGAGCUAUAGUGCCAGGAAGACAGCUUUGUAUUCCUGACACUUAUAGUGUCCCUUUAACCACUGGAAUAUCCAUAUUAAAGGGACAGACAGUGCUUUAUAAAUUAUGCUUGCAUAGCUUAUAGAUCAGAGGUAUUCUAGAUCUCCAGAGGAUGUGAUAUACACCACAUGCCUUUGCCUUCCUCUAAAUUUUUUGGAUUGCAAAGUUUUGUGGGGACUGCCGAUAAUUGCUGGAUUUUCUUUAUUGUGCACUCCAGGUAUAGAUCGUUUUUUAUGUCUUACAUAUGCACAGUCUGAUUGGCAGUGUCUCUUUGACCAAAUUGUCUUUUUGACAAACCCAUUUGUCCAUAUGAGCAGUACUAAUAUAUUCUGUUUAUUAAACACAUCCUUCUCUUCAUAGAUUUCUCUACAAUGAGUAUUUGUCCAAUAACUGUAAUUCUCUUGCAUGUGUUUUACAGCUUUAAUUGCAGCCUGCAAUGACUAAAUAUUUAAGUACACAUGAUGCCUCUGGACUAGAAUUCUUUUUAUGCCAGGGCUUUUUGCUCAAAGAAAUGAAGGCCGCCACCGCUGCCACAGCAUCUUAAAUUUUGGAUGCAAAAUAGAUUGUGGUUUUUUUACUCUGCCAGGAUUGCCGCCAUGGAACGUGACUGAAUAGGUUGAAAGCGAAGAACUGAAAUUGCAAGAUUGAGG
rnacentral:lncRNA from 1 species